rnacentral:rRNA from 1 species
UACAGAGGUGGCGAGCGUUAUUCGGAAUUAUUGGGCGUAAAGGGCGCGUAGGCGGCUUGACAAGUCCCGGGUGAAAUCCCUCGGCUCAACCGAGGAACUGCCUUGGAAACUGUCUGGCUUGAGGCCGGGAGAGGGUAGUGGAAUUCCCAGUGUAGCGGUGAAAUGCGUAGAUACUGGGAGGAACACCGGUGGCGAAGGCGGCUACCUGGACCGGUUCUGACGCUGAGGCGCGAAAGCGUGGGGAGCAAACAGG